rnacentral:pre_miRNA from 1 species
AGUUCUUCUCUGGCAAACUUUAUGACUCUGUCUUUACGCUAAAGCUGCCAGCUGAAGAACUGU